rnacentral:rRNA from 1 species
GACGUAGGGGGCAAGCGUUGUCCGGAAUUAUUGGGCGUAAAGCGCUCGUAGGCGGAUCGGUAAGUCUGUGAAGAAAGACCCGGGCUCAACUCGGGGAACGGCAUAGAUACUGCUGAUCUUGAGACAGUCAGAGGAUGAUGGAAUUCCAGGUGUAGCGGUGAAAUUCGUAAAUAUUGGGAAGAACACCGGUGGCGAAGGCGGCUCACUGGCUCAUUACUGACGCUCAGGCGCGAUAGCGUGGGGAUCAAACAGG